rnacentral:rRNA from 1 species
GACGAACGCUGGCGGCGUGCUUAACACAUGCAAGUCGAACGGGCCUGCCUUCUUUUUUGGGGGGUGGGUUGAGUGGCGAACGGGUGAGUAUCACGUGAGUAACCUGCCCUUCGGUCCUGGAUAACCGCUUGAAAGGGCGGCUAAUACGGGGUGGUCCGGUUGGUCCGCAUGGGCUGGUCGGGAUAGAUUCACUGUUUUUGGUGUUUCGGCGGGGGAUGGGCUCGCGGCCUAUCAGCUUGUUGGUGGGGUGAUGGCCUACCAAGGCGGUGACGGGUAGCCGGCCGGAGGGGGUGGGCGGCCACACUGGGACUGAGGUGCGGCCCAGACUCCUGCGGGAGGCAGCAGUGGGGGGUAUUGCACAAUGGGCGGAAGCCUGAUGCAGCGACGUCGGGUGAGGGAUGGAGGCCUUCGGGUUGUGAACCUCUGUUUCCGGUGGUGAAGGCCCUGUCCGUGUGGUGGGGUUGACGGUAGCCGGGGAUGAAGCGCCGGCUAACUACGUG